rnacentral:pre_miRNA from 1 species
AGCCUUCUAUAUCCGUGCUGAGAUUUCGUCAGAGAUCAACCCACUUGGGAUGGCUGAUGGCACUUCCAAAAUAAGUGAGGCG